UACAUCCCGGCGUAUUCGUCGUCAACUCAAGCGAAGUCUUCCACCGCCGCUCAUCAACGUCAACGAUCUCGACCAUGCCUUCGAUGGCUACGACAUCGAGCUCGCCUUCGACAACCUCAAUCUUACGCCAUCCUCGUCUGCAUCUCCACCACCAAGUACUUCUACAGCUAGCAGGUAUAAUCUUAGUGAUCUAAUCUUGUCAUUUAUAUGUCCAAUCUAUCUAGUGUAUGAACUAUGUUUACACUAGUCAUCAUGUUCAUGCUAUGCGAUAUCAUGAUCUGUUUUGCUAGUAUGUGUGAUUUGUUAAUCUGCCAUGCUAGUAUUCUUUACGUGCUUAAUCUAGUUCAUCAUCUAGUCAUGUUUUAUGUUCUGGUUUUAAUCUGAAAAUUAAUCUGGAAUUUGUCUAAUUAUUUAACAUCAGAAACAUAAAGAAACAGCGCUUGCAGCGGCAUCCAGAAUACACAGUUUAUAGUAUGGUUCGAAAAGAUGUGAUCGUUGAGGAACUGAGUACACUAUAACAAAACAGCACAAAGGAGACGCCUAAAUCAGUGACCUUCAAUUGAAACGUAUCACUUAUGUCAGAUCAGUGACGCGUGUAAACUAAAUACGUCAUUUAGGUGUCAUCUAUGGUAAGGAAACGAAAUGCGUCACUAAUGACAACAUAUUAGAGACUCUUCUCCACAACGUGUCACUGGUAACCAGAGACUCGUUGGGAGGAAACAUGUCACUCCUAAAAGAUAUCGGACCCAAAAAAUUAUCAAAUAUUGCUAAACUAAAGAGUUAAGUCUUUCGUCCCCCUCCCAUCUGGAUCUGGCCGUGCCCACUCAUGGACGCACUGUGUCACCCAUUCCUAUCCUAUCUCUCUCGCCUCUCCGCCACCAUAUCCCUCUUUCUCCUCCAGAUCUGGCUGGAGUGCCUUCACCUCCUUGUGCCAAGAACAAUGGUGCAGACGGUACUACUCCAGGCAGCACAAGCGGGGAUGGCUUCGGACAGCACAUGCAGGGGUAGAUGAAAACGGAACGGAAAUAUCCCGAAUCGAACCGAACCGCUUUCUAUAUUUGAUCCGAUCGAAUUCGUAUUUUUUUGUCCGACUAUAUCGUUUUCGCUUUCGUAUUUUAGAUGUUUCGUAUUUUAAAUAUAAAAGUAGAAAACGGUUUUGACAUUUUUCGACCGUUUUCUACUUUUCUACUUUUAAUAUGAAAUAUUUCGAAUUCAAAAUUUGGUUUAAACCGAAUUUAGCCAACUGUAGAGUCACACAGCCCAAUUAUAGACUACUCACCAUGCAUCUGCGUUCUUUCUACUAGUGGCUAGUUGUGUUCAUGUUAGCUAUUAAUUGCUUAUUCUAGACUUGUAUUUAUAUGUGGGCUAUUGUAUUAAAUACCUAAGACUAAGGAGUAUGCACUUUUUAAUUAUUAUAUGCACUUGAACUUGAUCCUAUUUAUACUUUUAGUCAUGCACUUGGUACUAUAUAUCGGUAUUUCGUAUUGAGUUUUCAUAUAUCGACCGUGUUCGACAUAAAUCCGAUCGAAUUGGUUCGUUUUCGAAAUUCUCGAUAUUUCGUAAGUUCGUGUUCGUUUUCGUGUCCGACUUUACCGUUUUUGUUUUCGUUUUCGUAUUUCAAAUGUAAAAGUAGAAAACAAUUUAGGAGUUUUUCGACCGUUUUCAUCCUGAUGCGGGUCCCUACCGACAACGGUGCAUGUGCCCGGGGCCCGUAUCGGUGAUGGCGCACACCGUACCCUACCAGGUAUGGCGGGUGGGCCCCCUGCACCGGUAGUGGUGAGCACCCUCCCCAUCCCACUCCCCUUCCCCGCAGCACCUGCUCAUGCAAGGUCUAGGAGGCUGUGGACGUGCCUUCAGCCAGACUGUCUUCAGCGCACAUGCCUAGCAUCGGCACAAUGCCUGCAAGACCACCUGGCUUUAAUGUCGCAAAAUUUUCUAAAACUUAAAUUUGUUUGAACUGCAAUGUCUAUGCUAACUUAUAUUCAGAUUUGUUUUCUCUACCAAACUGGUCACCAAAUAAAUGUAAUCUGUGUAUGCCUUUGCAGUCAUGGUUUCAUUGUGGUCACUCCUCAAAUAUGUUUUGUUUUUUACAUGUGUGAUGCUGUGCCAUUAUAAAUGCAAUCUGUCUAUGCAAAUUCUUGGUGAUUUAUUUUUCAGAUAUGCACACAUCGGACUAUGCAGAUUUGCACUGGACCUACAUAGUCGGGGUGAACAUCUCUUUUUUUUUCAUGUCGGCACAUACUGAAAUACACAUCACUGGCUUCUCUGUAUUUUACUUAGGAUAUCUGGCCAUGUAGCAAUAUCAGUGAUAUUUUUGCAGCCAUUGAAAACUUUGUUAGUCUGUUACAUGUUUUUGAACUAUAUUUAAUUUCGAAAAAAAAGCUUUUUGAACAGUAUUUAAUUUCAUAAAAAACUUUGUCUCUCCGGCACCCACUUCCUUGUUUUACGAGACCAACGGAUUGACUAAGUCGGUUGCACCCUCCGCUAAAGAACUUAGCGUGUUUAUUUCACCUCAAAAACCAAAAACUUUUCAAGAUUCUCCAUCACAUCGAAUCUUACGGUAUAUGUAUGAAACAUUAAAUAUAAAUAAAAACAAAAACUAAUUGCACAGUUUGUCUGUAAAUCGCAAGAUGAAUCUCUUAAGCCUAGUUACUAAUAUGAUUGGAUAAUGUUUGUCAAAUAAAAACGAAAGUGCUACAGUAUCAAAAUCUAAAAACCUUUUGGAUCUAAACAAGGCCUGCAUGCAAGAAAUGUAUUGUAAUUUGUAUUAACUGCACAUGCAGUUGGCCGUAAGAUGAAGCCGAGUAUGUACCUGGAUUCUGUUUUCAUGACACAGCAAGCAUUGUUGUUACUUUCAGCAGGGCAGGCGGCCACUUGGCAAUAUGAUAUAUGACGAUAACCUUCAUUUAGAGAUUAGAAUAUGAUAACCUUGGCAUUCCGAUAUCUUUUCAGAAAGCUCGACGCCUUAGUUUCCAAGGCAAUGGAUUCGAGAAGCAAGGAGCAGACAGUUUGGAGAUAAAGUAAAGGUUAAAGACAUUAAAGCAACUAAACAGAAAGUGUCAGAUUGGUCAGUUAAUAGGCCUUGUUUAGUUUCCAACUCAAAAAAUUUUCAACCAUCACAUCGAAUAUUUGGACGCAUGCAUAAAUAUUAAAUAUAGAUAAAAAAUAAAUUAAUUACACAAUUUAGUUGGAAAUCACGAGACCAAUCUCUUAAGCCUAAUUAGUCUAUGAUUAGCCUUAAGUGCUACAGUAACAUACAUGUGCUAAUGGUAGAUUAAUUAGGCUUAAUAAAUUUGUCUCGUAGUUUCCAGCCGAGUUAUGUAAUUAGUUUUUUUUAUUACUAUCCGAACACCCCUUUCGAUAUCCUACGAAACAUUCGAUGUGACACCCAAAAAUUUUUCCCUCUCCAACUAAGCAAUGCUUUGUUUCUUAGUUUGCUGUUGACUUGAGCGAGCCCCUAGUGUCAAACGAUUUUUAUAGACGCCUCUAUUUUUUUCAGAGGCAGCUGAAUUUAUUAAAACUGUUUUUUGAAAUCGUUUCUUGGGCGCCGAAAAAUGGCCUACUCCAUGGAAAUGGACUUCCGGUGGUUCUUGAUGUACUCGCUAGCUGCCCAUGAAAAUCAAUAGAAAAGAAACUAAUUUUUCAUCUUAAUCCUUAUGUAUUAAAAAGGAACCUCCUCCUGGUAGUCAGGUUUAUCGUCCCUGAUACUACACCUCCCAUAGUUAAGCAUGAAUGAUGGCAGCGCAAUCAUUUCAUACCAGGUCGCUAGCAGUGAACAACUUUGCAGCGAAAUUCAGAUUAAGAAACGAAAUAUGGAGUUUAUCAGUGGUGGUGGAGUAUAUCGAGUUUAUCAAGUUUAUGGAGUUUAACGAGUAUAACAUUGUCUUAAUUGGUGGAGUAUAACAGUAUGCUAGACGGUAUAGAGAACGACUGAUAUUGUAGAUAUAGUCCAUGCGGCCACGUGGCUGGCAGGAGCUGGACAGAGCAGUACGUUCAUCGAAGGUGCCAGUGUGCCACCAAGUGCUUUGAUGAUUCACCAUAGCUUCCAAUUUACUAGUUGGGCUUCUGUAGUUUCGUCAAAUGAUAACAUCUAUAAGGCCGUACCAGAGAAAUCAAUGGGUAGCUCAUAACACAAAUAAAACAUGAGAAACAGAGUACAUUAACCGUUGAUAAAUUACAAAGAGUUCAAGUUUGUUCUCAGCAUACCAAUCCAUACAUACACACCAUGUAGCUCCAUUCUGGGUGGCAGUCUGAAACAACCAGUUACUAACAGAAAUACAUAUAAAACUCAAACAGACCAAGCAAAGCAGCACAAACAUAAUAUGUCCCUGACAAAAAUUAUUACAUGAAACAAAACACACUCAAACACAAAUCAUGAUACAUACAGCUCACGUAGGUUCAUAGAAUGGAGACGACACGCCUUAGUGGCGUUCAUGGCACCGAGCUGAGGAUAUGCAACAUUGCAACUCACCUGAGGUACCUUCGGAUGAUAUGUUUCCUGCGUGAAACAAACUCUGGUGGAGGGAUAUGCAUGUAGUAGUGAUUCUGCUCUGGCUACUCAGCCUGUUCCAUCACUCCUGUUCUCCACUCACCUCCACCUUUGACCUUGGAUGUUUCAUCUUCAGGAGCAGGAGACGGUGAAAGGAGUGGCAGCCCCUGACAAAGAGCUUCUCCCACUUUGGUGUUUCAAACUGAAACUUAACAUUAUCAUGGAUGUGCAG
rnacentral:lncRNA from 1 species